rnacentral:lncRNA from 1 species
UAAAAACAUCUUUGGGCCUCAUUUGCGCCCCAGGCCCCCCAGGCUCCGCCAGGCUGGGGGGUGGAGGUGCAGGCAGUGGUGGAGAGCUGAGUCCUGGACUGGCCUAGGAGACCCCAGUCCUGGCUGCACGGCCUCAACCACGUGACUUGGAGGGGCAGCUCCUCCUCUUGACACCCCAGCUGUUCACCCGCACAGCCUGGAGCCCACCCUGCUGUCGGGGCUGCGGGAACAGGUUCACCAGCCCUGCGGAGAGCCGUGCGUGCAGCUGGCACGGGGGGUCCCUGAGAAGAUCCUGGCCCUGCUGUGCUCGACUCCGCGGGGGACGCUCAGCCCUCCUCGACAGAAGGUGAGCCUAGGAGAUGGAGCAGGAUGCACAGAGGGAAGGGGGGUUUCACCUAAAGCUCAGACGGAUCAGGACCCGGGUGCCUGCCUGGGGGGACGUGUGGGGCUCCCCCACAAGGCCGAGCUCCCUGAAGGCAGGCUUUCCCCAGGGGGUGCAGCCUACCAUGACCCUGGGCCUGUGGGGAUGGGCUCCUGACCAGCUGUGGUCUCACCAGGCAGACACUGGGCUCCUGCCAGGCCUCUUGACCAUCUGUCUUGCGGGCUAGGACACAUUCUCCUGGCCCGCCUGGCUUCUGCCUGCUUAUUAAGAAGGUGGCGUGAAAACAGAGCCACCUGACGUCGCCCCAGGGCCGCAGCCAGGUGCUCUCAGCAGGGUUCUCU